rnacentral:rRNA from 1 species
UACGUAGGGUGCUAGCGUUGUCCGGAAUCAUUGGGCGUAAAGAGCGCGUAGGCGGUCCGGUAAGUCCGCUCUGAAAGUCCGGGGCUCAACCCCGGGAGGCGGGCGGAUACUGUCGGGCUAGAGUCCGGAAGAGGCGAGUGGAAUUCCUGGUGUAGCGGUGAAAUGCGCAGAUAUCAGGAGGAACACCAAUGGCGAAGGCAGCUCGCUGGGACGGUACUGACGCUGAGGAGCGAAAGCGUGGGGAGCGAACAGG